CCUAUGCCUCAAAGGAAGGGGUCAAGGGUUGAAGAGGCGGCUCAGUGUGUGAGCGCUUUUCCUGCAGAAUCAUGAGGACCAGAAUAUGGAUCCAACAGCCACCUAAAAGCAGAUCAUGGACGUACUUUUCGGCUCUAGCCCUAGUGCUGUAGGAGUGGUUCUGGAUGUGAGCUCUCCCUGUUCCUGCUGCCUUGAUGCAUCAGUCUCCUGUCAUGAUGGGCUCUGAUUCCUCUGGAACCAUAAGCCCAAAUAAACUUUUUUUCUAUAA